UGUGCACAGGUGGUGAUCUUAGUGGCUGCCACUAAGGUCAUACCCUGUCAGAAUCCCAAAGACAGGCCAGUACAGAUGCCUCAGUACUAACACUAGCACGGAGACAGCUACCAAGGACAGUAGCAGUUAUGGUGUGAAGCCAGCCUUAGCCUAACCCCAGCCCACAAAACAAGCUGUGUGUGCUCAGCUGGAAGGCUGGAGAAGUGCAGCUGCCCAGGUUGUUUGAAGCCAGCGGAUCCAAAGUGCCAGCUGUGCCCCCCCCACUUUUCUUCCUCCAGAGGAUGAAGCCAGGACCCUCAUUAUCCUGACUGUGGAUUGCAAACUCAUGAGCUAAAACAAAGAUUUAAUCAUACACUGGCCAGACUCAGGAGCUUGGAAGAUAAGGAAAAGCAGUGCAGAUGAUGGAGACCUGGAGGGAAGCAAAGACUCCACCAGAAUGUUUGUGUGAAGAAUAAUUUCAGCUGGAGCUGAAGAAUCAACUGUGAUUAACAAGAAACCAGAACCACUAAAGUAAAUCCUUUGCUGGUCAGCUGGGGCUGAAGGAUCAGCUGAGAUUAAGAAGAGACCUGCAUCAUUGAGGUGAAGCCUUCUGGGAAGUGCUUCCUCAGGAUCAGCACACAGAAGCUGUGUUCCAGAAGUGGCUAAGAUUGUACCUCAUACUGGCAUCCAAACUUGGUGUUGUAAGUCACCCAGGUGCUACUGGUUUUGAAAGAUUGAAGGUGUUAUGGAGAACAGCUGAGCCUUGGCACUAUGUGGCAGGGAUGCAGUCCCUGGAUAGAGAUCAGGAGAUGCUAUUGGUGAAAGUGCAGCCCAGUGACAUCAAGGAACCCCUGAAGUCUUAAAAAUGCCAGUACUGUGGGAUGACCAAGAAGAGUCGCAGUUACAGAAUGGAGUCAGUGGAAGAUGAAGAGAGAAAAGCUGGAGAAGUGACCCAAGCCCCUCAUAGGAGCCUAGAAGACGGGUGAAGACAAUUUGCUGUGAUUCCUAUUUUGUUGUGUGGUGUGUCUGAGUCACAACUAUAAACAUUUGGUACUGUUUCACCUGAGUUUGGUCCUACAUAUUGGAAGACCCAGUGUCUCCUGCAGUAGUGCAUCUAUUCUGUGACUGUAAUGUAGCAUCACUAGAAUUGAUGGUAGCAUUUCUGGCUUCCACCUAUGUCAUCUUUAUUUUGAAGACGUCUCACUCAAGUCCUCACUCAGACCAUUUAAUACUUUUCUACAAAAAGAAACAGAUUUCCCACUAGUGCUUCCUGGAGAAUUCAUUUCGGCGUUUGGCAAUGUGAUGAUGUGACAGACAAGGAAAGCAACCUUCUCCAAGAGCUGGGACAGUGGAUGCAAAUCAGUCAUCUCAGCAGUGGAUUCCAGACUUCACAGCGAGACAGGAGGGGAGACCAACUCGUAUGUGACAAGACUCUUUCAAGUGGAUUUGCUUUCAAUGGAGGAUGGUGGUGAUAUUGAUACAGGAAGAAAAUUAACAGUUGAACCAAAGUCUAUCAAAGGUGCUUGUUCAAACCUUGGCUCUCUGCCAAGUCAAGUAUGGUUCAGCAGAAUCUAUAUAGGCUUUUGGAUUUCCUUCUGAAAUUUUUGCUUUGAACAUAGAUAACCUAUAGAAUUAAAUAAAUGAUAGAUGGCCUAAACAUUGCUAAAGUUCAAAGAUAAAUGAAUGUCAAAUAUUCAUGUUUGGAGAUGAGUCCAAGAAAAUGGUAGAGAAAUACAACUUUCCAAAUUUUUAAAUACUGU